UACGUAGGGUGCGAGCGUUAAUCGGAAUUACUGGGCGUAAAGCGUGCGCAGGCGGUCUCGCAAGUCCGAUGUGAAAUCCCCGGGCUCAACCUGGGAACUGCGUUGGAAACUACGAGGCUGGAGUACGGCAGAGGGGGGUGGAAUUCCACGUGUAGCAGUGAAAUGCGUAGAGAUGUGGAGGAACACCGAUGGCGAAGGCAGCCCCCUGGGCUAACACUGACGCUCAUGCACGAAAGCGUGGGGAGCAAACAGG
rnacentral:rRNA from 1 species